GAUGAACGCUGGCGGCGUGCCUAAUACAUGCAAGUCGAGCGAACAGACGAGGAGCUUGCUCCUCUGACGUUAGCGGCGGACGGGUGAGUAACACGUGGAUAACCUACCUAUAAGACUGGGAUAACUUCGGGAAACCGGAGCUAAUACCGGAUAAUAUAUUGAACCGCGUGGUUCAAUAGUGAAAGACGGUUUUGCUGUCACUUAUAGAUGGAUCCGCGCCGCAUUAGCUAGUUGGUAAGGUAACGGCUUACCAAGGCAACGAUGCGUAGCCGACCUGAGAGGGGGAUCGGCCACACUGGAGCUGAGACACGCUCCAGACUCCUACGGGAGGCCGCAGGAGGGAAUCUUCCGCAAUGGGCGAAAGCUUGACGGAGCAACGCCGCGUGAGGGAUGAAGGUCUUCGGAGCGUAGGACUCUGUUAUUAGGGAAGAACAAAUGUGUAAGUAACUAUGCACGUCUUGACGGUACCUAAUCAGAAAGCCACGGCUAACUACGUG
rnacentral:rRNA from 1 species